rnacentral:rRNA from 1 species
UACGUAGGGUGCGAGCGUUAAUCGGAAUUACUGGGCGUAAAGCGUGCGCAGGCGGUUCGUGAAGUCCGAUGUGAAAGCCCCGGGCCUAACCUGGGAAUGGCAUUGGAAACUGGCGGGCUAGAGUUUGGCAGAGGGGGGUGGAAUUCCUGGUGUAGCAGUGAAAUGCGUAGAGAUCAGGAGGAACACCGAUGGCGAAGGCAGCCCCCUGGGCUGGAACUGACGCUCAAGCACGAAAGCGUGGGGAGCAAACAGG